rnacentral:rRNA from 1 species
AUACGUAGGGGACAAGCGUUAUCCGGAUUUACUGGGUGUAAAGGGAGCGUAGGCGGCCAGCCAAGUCAGAAGUGAAAUCCCACGGCUCAACUGUGGGCGUGCUUUUGAAACUGGAGGGCUUGAGUACUGGAGGGGCAAGCGGAAUUCCUGGUGUAGCGGUGAAAUGCAUAGAUAUCAGGAAGAACACCGGAGGCGAAGGCGGCUUGCUGGACAGAGACUGACGCUGAGGCUCGAAGGCGUGGGGAGCAAACAGAAUUAGAUACCCUGGUAGUCCACGUGGUAAACGAUGAAUGCUAGGUAUUGGGCUCCAUAGGGGUUCGGUGCCGCAGUUAACGCAAUAAGCAUUCCACCUGGGGAGUACGUUCGCAAGAAUGAAACUCAAAUGAAUUGACGGGG